UACGUAGGGAGCAAGCGUUACUCGGAAUCACUGGGCAUAAAGGGCGUGUAGGCGGGUGCGUAAGUCCGGUGUGAAUGCCCUCGGCUCAACCGAGGAAUGCCAUUGGAAACUGCGUGCCUUGAGUGCGGGAAGGGAGAGUGGAACUCUUGGUGGAGCGGUGAAAUGCGUAGAUAUCAAGAGGAACGCCAGUGGCGAAAGCGACUCUCUGGCCCGUUACUGACGCUGAGGCGCGAAAGCCAGGGGAGCGAACGGGAUUAGAUACCCCCGUA
rnacentral:rRNA from 1 species